rnacentral:rRNA from 1 species
CAGCUCUCCGAGUGGUAGGGACGAUUAUUGGGCUUAAAGCGUCCGUAGCCGGCCUGGCAAGUCUCCCGUUAAAUCCAACGAUCCAAUCGUUGGACUGCGGGAGAUACUGUCAGGCUAGGGGGCGGGAGAGGCCGACGGUAUUCUCGGGGUAGGGGUAAAAUCCUAUAAUCCCGGGAAGACCACCAGUGGCGAAGGCGGUCGGCUAGAACGCGCCCGACGGUGAGGGACGAAAGCUGGGGGAGCGAACCGGAUUAGAUACCCGGGUAGUCCCAGCCGUAAACGAUGCGGGCUAGGUGUUGGAGCGGCUACGAGCCGCUUCAGUGCCGCAGGGAAACCAUUAAGCCCGCCGCCUGGGGAGUACGGCCGCAAGGCUGAAACUUAAAGGAAUUGGCGGGGGAGCACCACAAGGGGUGAAGCUUGCGGUUUAAUUGGAGUCAACGCCGGGAAACUUACCGGGGGCGACAGCAGGAUGAAGGCCAGAUUGAAGGUCUUGCUGGACGAGCUGAGAGGAGGUGCAUGGCCGUCGCCAGUUCGUGCCGUGAGGUGUCCUGUUAAGUCAGGCAACGAUCGAGACCCACACCCCCUGUUGCCACCAAGGAGGUUUCUCCAAGGGGCACUCUGGGGGGACCGCCGCCGAAAAGGCGGAGGAAGGAGUGGGCCACGGCAGGUCAGUAUGCCCCGAAUCCCCCGGGCCACACGCGAGCUGCAAUGGCUGGGACAGAGGGUUCCAACCCCGAGAGGGGAAGGCAAUCCCUAAACCCAGCCGUAGUUGGGAUCGAGGGCUGAAACUCGCCCUCGUGAACAUGGAAUCCCUAGUAAUCGCGCGUCAUCAUCGCGCGGUGAAUACGUCCCUGCUCCUU